rnacentral:lncRNA from 1 species
ACAGUGAUAACAAGUACCUUGGCGGAGACCUUCUUCACCUUCUUCUUGGAGAUGCCAGCCUUAGGGUUCAGCUUUUUCUUAGAACCUUUUUUCAUCUUCUCCUUGCUGAUCUUAUCAACAUGAAAAAUCUGGUCUUUUCAUCCUUGAAAUCGCCCUCUACUAUUUUUAACAUAUUCAGAAGCUCAGGCAAGCUGAUGUUCAGUUUGUUCAUAUGAUAAUUAAUGACAAACUAAGAAAAGGAGUCAGGAAGAGACUACAGGAUCAAAUCUUGGCUCAGUUCACCAUCUAUGGCAAAACCCAGCUGUCCCAAAUGAGUGAUCAAAUCAAUCAUCUUUAGGACAUGCGUUUGCAU